rnacentral:misc_RNA from 1 species
GAAAGAGAGCAAACCAUCAACCUUAGCUGCAUAACAACAAAGCUCAAUUUCUUCUACAACUUAACCCUCUGCUUGCGAUGAAAAAGAUGUUAAAAAUGAUGAAGCUCUGUUAGUCUCUAGAUUGGCUAAAAUUUAUUGUAAGGAUUCAUUUUGAUAAGGACUCGUUAUAAAGAGGAUUUCCAUUUUUAAACAAAAUCAUACAAGUUCCCUACAAGCACUCGAUAAAUUUACAUGAUAAGCUUUUCCUUGAAUAUGAAACUAUUUCCUGAUAAAGGAAACUCCUUUCUGAAUGCUUGCUUCCAACUCUUUCUUCGCCUUUUCCAACCCAAUUCUCUCAUACUCGUUAAGGGGGCCAAGUUGAAAGAUUUCCUCAGCUCCAUUACGACCAAGUCGUACCUUUGUUGCGAAGAAAGGGAGUUCUGUCACCUCAGAAGCUACAAAAGAGCAUUCCACAACACCAGCAUCUCCUCUCAAGCCACGAAGGCACGCAUCUGCAAAUUUAACAGCUGCAUAUGCCAUUGACAGUGUUGCAGAGCCGAUCCCAGCUUUUGCCUGCCAAUAGAAUUAAAAAACUCAACUCUAUAUAAAUUAAGCAAUCAAAUAUAUCAAGUGGAUAGAAGUGGCAAAUAUCAUAAGCAGUUCAAGUAACUUGUGUUGUUUUACAAUAGGAAUUGCACAACUUGGAACAAUGCAUUAGGAAAUGUUAACAUAUAAAUGAGAGAUUAUGGACCAAAAGCAUAAAGAAAGAUUAUAAUAAAGCAAUCUUGACAAUGUUUAGCCUUAAGAAGGGAGUCCUCUCAGAACAUACUCUCAGAAGAGAAUUUAAUAGUAAGGUUUCUAAACUUAAAACACUGCCACUAGCAAACUUGCCCUGGAUGAAUUAAGCAAAACUAUUCUCCCAUGAGAAAUCAGGACUCUUCCUUUCAAAGUUACAAUUACCCUCCAAAAAGUUCCCAUCAUUUUCCCUAAACUAGAUAAAAAAAUCCCUUCAUUAUCUUCUAUUUAUAUAUUAUUUUUUAUUUUUACUACCGUUCACAAGUAACAUUGUUGAUAAUUAAAAAAAAUCUUGACAAGGCAUGAUUAACAAGCAAAUUGAGCAAUUAAAUUAUAGGCUGUAUGUAUGGAGAAAUACAUUGGCUGUAACUUAAAGCUCUAGAUCUUUGUACAAGCUGACAAGCAACAAAAGGAAUGGAAGGAUGCAUCAUUGAUGCACGUUAUUUGCUCAUAUCCCAUGUUUCAAGCUUACCUGAACAACUUCUGUUCCACCAUCUUGAAUACGUUUGGUCAGGUAUUCAGUUUCUUCCGGCGUGAAGGAGCAAGGAGGCUUAACCUGCGACAAAAGGGGUAAAAUUGUAACUCCUGCAUGGCCUCCAACAACUGGAACGUCAACUUCCCUAGGAUCAAGUCCCAGAACUUCUGCCACAAAAGUGUUUGCUCUCACAACAUCAAGCAUUGUAACUCCCAAAAGUCGCUUUGGGUCAUAAGUCCCGGCUUUCUUGAAAACCUCAGCUGCAAUUGGAACUGUAGAAUUAACUGGAUUACUGAUCAAAUUGACAAUUGCUUUGGGGCAGGACUUGGCAAUUCCUUCACAAAGGGUUCUGACAAUCCCAGCAUUGAUGUUGAAAAGAUCAUCCCUAGUCAUUCCUGGCUUCCUUGGAACACCAGCAGGUAUGAUUACAAGAUCCAUGCCUGUAAGAGCAUUCUCAAGUUGUGGCUGCCCUAGGAAACCACGAACCUAGAAACCCAAAGAAAACAGUUACUAUAAAUUGCUGUAUAGUCUAACUCAUUAUUUUUUGAUCUUCCCCUUGUCUAACUUUUCAAUUACUUGGCUAAAUGAUUCUAAAAAUUUUGAAAAAUUUUAAGUAACAAUUUAACUCCCAGUCAUUAAAUUUUAAAAAAGAAAAUGCCAACUAAAUCUAAUUUGUUUCAAAUUACUCCACUUGACUUCCUAAAUUAACAGCAAAUAUAUCAGAGUAAUUCAAUCUCAAAUACAAAAACUAAUUAAUGGGGAUUAAUUACUACCACAGCACCAGUGUCCAUGUGGCUAAUAUCAGCUGUAACACCAGGGGCAUUCACAACAUCAUAGAGAUGAAGAACUGAGACCAAAGGGUUCAUCUUCAUUAGCAUAGCAAGAGGUUGGCCAAUGCCUCCAGCAGCACCCAAAAUAGCCACCUUGAAGCCAGGUGCCCGUCCUUUAGCCCGGCAGUCAGCUCUCCUCAGAAUAGAACUUCCCUCCAUCUGGAAAUUGGGAGGGAGGAUAUGAGCUGAUAUCCUAGCAAUCCGCUGGGUAGCCUCUGCAGAGGACUCCAUUGCUAUGUAUUAAGAUAGAAAGAUGAAAGAAGUUAGUGGUGUUGGUGGUAUCACAAACAACAAGCAAGAAAAAGAAAAAGUUCUUAAAGCCGGAAGAAAAUGAAGAGAUAAAUAUGAAAAUUAAGAUAUGGAGAGUGAGAAGCAAGAAGUUGACAUUUUUGUUUUAGUUCUCUAUCAAAAUUUAAUGGUUUCUAUUUUUUCUUUCCUUUUUGUAUGUGGAAACAAGUUCUUGAACCCUUAUCCCCAUCUUAAUUACUGAAUCUCUGUGGCUCUCAUAUUUUCUUCACAAAAAGAAUUCUGUUAUUUUCUGCUCUUCCCUUCUCAGUUCUCACUUUUUUGGGGGGUCUCUUUCCUGAUCAAAUCCAUAACCUCAGAUUUGG